UCACAGGUUGAAUGACUCACCUCUGGUGCUUGGGUGAGCAGCAGUGGUGUUAACCCCAUAGCUUUUGAAACUGCUGUGUCAGUGUGGCUCCAGAACCCCGGGGGGGUUACCACCACGGCAUGCUCCCCCGACACUUUUCCCCCCAUCACUGAUUCUAGUCACCAAAGACGACCGAACCCUGCCUGAUUUUGAUGGAAGCCAGGGUUGCCUCAGUCAGCAUGGGCCUGGGAGAAGAAACUUUAGCCCGAGAACAAAGGGACGGUGGCCUGUUCACUAGCUACAGCUCGGUUUGACGUGAUUGCUACCGUUACGAUUCAUGGAGGCCUGGGAUACUUGCAUCUGCGUGCAAGCAGGACAACAGACAGACAUGAAAGACCAGAUUUCUGGUCUGAGCAUGAGCGUGAGCAAACCCAACCUCCUUUAGGGGCCAUAAGGGUACAUCUACUAUACCGUUACAGCAGUGACUGCAGACAUACCUCAGGAGGUGGAACCUGAGACCCAAAGCCACGGGGAAGCCUGCACAGCCAGAAGUUGUGACCGAGGCACCCACGCCUGAAUACAAUAUGCUUUUAAUUUCUUACUUGGUUAUUUAUUAAAGAGACCCUGCAGCUGCCGCAAGGAGACUUGCUUUCCCUCGCUCUCUCGCUCUCUCUCUGAGCAUUUAAGUUGCCUUCAUUUACAUUUUGUAUGCGUUAUGCUAGGCUG